AGUGAACGCUGGCGGCAGGCCUAACACAUGCAAGUCGAGCGGCAGCGCGUCCGACCACCCUCGGGUGGUCGGAUGGCGGCGAGCGGCGGACGGGUGAGGAAUGCAUCGGAAUCUGCCUCGUUGUGGGGGAUAACGUAGGGAAACUUACGCUAAUACCGCAUACGACCUACGGGUGAAAGUGGGGGACCUUCGGGCCUCACGCGAUGAGAUGAGCCGAUGCCGGAUUAGCUAGUUGGCGGGGUAAAGGCCCACCAAGGCGACGAUCCGUAGCUGGUCUGAGAGGAUGAUCAGCCACACUGGAACUGAGACACGGUCCAGACUCCUACGGGAGGCAGCAGUGGGGAAUAUUGGACAAUGGGGGCAACCCUCGAUCCAGCCAUGCCGCGUGUGUGAAG
rnacentral:rRNA from 1 species